rnacentral:rRNA from 1 species
UACGUAGGGUGCAAGCGUUGUCCGGAAUUAUUGGGCGUAAAGAGCGUGUAGGCGGCCUGAAAGGUCAGCUGUGAAAACUCGAGGCUCAACCUCGAGACGUCGGUUGAAACCAUCUGGCUAGAGUCCGGAAGAGGAGUGUGGAAUUCCCGGUGUAGCGGUGAAAUGCGCAGAUAUCGGGAAGAACACCCGUGGCGAAGGCGGCACUCUGGGACGGUACUGACGCUGAGACGCGAAAGCGUGGGGAGCGAACGAGG